rnacentral:rRNA from 1 species
CUACGGGAUGCUCCAGUGAGGAAUAUUGCACAAUGGGGGGAACCCUGAUGCAGCAACGCCGCGUGGAGGAUGACGCAUUUCGGUGUGUAAACUCCUUUUAUAUGUCAAGAAAAUGACGGUAGCAUAUGAAUAAGCACCGGCUAACUCCGUGCCAGCAGCUGCGGUAAUACGGAGGGUGCAAGCGUUACUCGGAAUCACUGGGGGUAAAGGACGCGUAGGCGGGUUGGAAAGUCAGGUGUGAAAUCCUACAGCUUAACUGUAGAACUGCACUUGAAACUUCUAAUCUAGAGUAUGGGAGGGGGAGAUGGAAUUAGUGGUGUAGGGGUAAAAUCCGUAGAUAUCACUAGGAAUACCUAAAGCGAAGGCGAUCUCCUGGAACAUUACUGACGCUAAGGCGUGAAAGCGUGGGGAGCAAACAGGAUUAGAUACCCUCGUAGUC